ACACAUGCAAGUCGAACGAUGAACCCGCUUGCGGGGGAUUAGUGGCGAACGGGUGAGUAACACGUGAGUAACCUGCCCUUAACUCUGGGAUAAGCCUUGGAAACGGGGUCUAAUACUGGAUAUUGACUUUACCUCGCAUGGGGUUUUGUUGAAAGAUUUAUUGGUUUUGGAUGGACUCGCGGCCUAUCAGCUUGUUGGUGAGGUAAUGGCUCACCAAGGCGACGACGGGUAGCCGGCCUGAGAGGGUGACCGGCCACACUGGGACUGAGACACGGCCCAGACUCCUACGGGAGGCAGCAGUGGGGAAUAUUGCACAAUGGGCGAAAGCCUGAUGCAGCGACGCCGCGUGAGGGAUGACGGCCUUCGGGUUGUAAACCUCUUUCAGUAGGGAACAAGGCCACACGUUGUGUGGUUGAGGGUACUUGCAGAAGAAGCGCCGGCUAACUACGUGCCAGCAGCCGCGGUAAUACGUAGGGCGCAAGCGUUAUCCGGAAUUAUUGGGCGUAAAGAGCUCGUAGGCGGUUUGUCGCGUCUGCCGUGAAAGUCCGGGGCUCAACUCCGGAUCUGCGGUGGGUACGGGCAGACUAGAGUGAUGUAGGGGAGACUGGAAUUCCUGGUGUAGCGGUGAAAUGCGCAGAUAUCAGGAGGAACACCGAUGGCGAAGGCAGGUCUCUGGGCAUUAACUGACGCUGAGGAGCGAAAGCAUGGGGAGCGAACAGGAUUAGAUACCCUGGUAGUCCAUGCCGUAAACGUUGGGCACUAGGUGUGGGGGACAUUCCACGUUUUCCGCGCCGUAGCUAACGCAUUAAGUGCCCCGCCUGGGGGAGUACGGCCGCAAGGCUAAAACUCAAAGGAAUGACGGGGGCCCGCACAAGCGGCGGAGCAUGCUGAUUAUUCGAUGCACGCGAGAUCUUACUAGCUGACAUGACUGAAUACUGGAAACAGGUGCCCGCUGCGUCGUACAGUGGUGCAUGUGUCGUCAGCUCGUCCUGAAUGUGUUAGUCCGCAACGAGGCCACCUCGUCUAUGUUGCCAGCACGUAUUGUGA
rnacentral:rRNA from 1 species